rnacentral:rRNA from 1 species
GUUUAGCCAAUCCCAUAAAUCUGUUCUCAGUUCGGAUCGCAGUCUGCAACUCGACUGCGUGAAGCUGGAAUCGCUAGUAAUCGCGGAUCAGCAUGCCGCGGUGAAUACGUUCCCGGGCCUUGUACACACCGCCCGUCACACCACGAGAGUUUGCAACACCCGAAGUCGGUGAGGUAACCUUUAUGGAGCCAGCCGCCGAAGGUGGGGCAGAUGAUUGGGGUGAAGUCGUAACAAGGUAGCCGUAUCGGAAGGUGCGGUUGGAUCACCUCA